UAGAGUUUGAUCAUGGCUCAGAUUGAACGCUGGCGGCAGGCCUAACACAUGCAAGUCGAGCGGUAACACAAGGGAGCUUGCUCCUGAGGUGACGAGCGGCGGACGGGUGAGUAAUGCCUAGGUAUCUGCCCAGUCGAGGGGGAUAACAGUUGGAAACGACUGCUAAUACCGCAUACGCCCUACGGGGGAAAGGAGGGGACCUUCGGGCCUUUCGCGAUUGGAUGAACCUAGGUGGGAUUAGCUAGUAGGUGGGGUAAUGGCUCACCUAGGCGACGAUCCCUAGCUGGUCUGAGAGGAUGAUCAGCCACACUGGAACUGAGACACGGUCCAGACUCCUACGGGAGGCAGCAGUGGGGAAUAUUGCACAAUGGGCGAAAGCCUGAUGCAGCCAUGCCGCGUGUAUGAAGAAGGCCUUCGGGUUGUAAAGUACUUUCAGCGAGGAGGAAAGCUCAAUUGUUAAUAGCAGUUGGGUGUGACGUUACUCGCAGAAGAAGCACCGGCUAACUUCGUGCCAGCAGCCGCGGUAAUACGAGGGGUGCAAGCGUUAAUCGGAAUUACUGGGCGUAAAGCGUACGCAGGCGGUUUGUUAAGCGAGAUGUGAAAGCCCCGGGCUCAACCUGGGAACUGCAUUUCGAACUGGCAAACUAGAGUCCUGUAGAGGGGGGUAGAAUUUCA
rnacentral:rRNA from 1 species